rnacentral:lncRNA from 1 species
AGGCCCCCUGCGAUGACAGAAUACUCCUCACUAUCCCUGUGCGGCUCAGUGCUCUGGGCAUGGCACCCUGAGUGGAAGGUCUCUGUUCCCAAACCCCUCGGUGACUCUCCACCACACUCCUUUCCCUCUCCUGGCUGGCCAGAAAGAAGAUUACCAUGGCAACCUUGGAACCGGUGUGUGUUGCAGGAGGCAGGGCCACGACAGCCUGGUCCCUGAGCGAAGCAUGGCCCAGCGCCGCCCAGCCAGCCCGUCUGCCCACUGCCCCUGGGUGAGUCAGAAGCCAGCUUCUCAGGAGCCCGAGCCAUCUCAUACUUUGGAGACUCUUGGCUCUGGGGCUUGCCGACCUCCAUGGUACAUAGUGCUCCACCGUGUUUCUGGAAACAGGCAUGAAUUCAAGCCAAGGGGGCAGAACAGAGCCUGCGACACAGCUGUCCUUCCCUCCCUCCCACACCCACCCCCGGCUCCUGUUCUCCCUGCUGCCCUGUUCAUGGCUGUAUCUAAGCUUGGGUUCCCUGGGGACAAUGAUGGAUGCUGCUGGGCCAAGAUCAAUGCGCGGGAGGGCUUGGAGCAAGAGAGAUCAAAGUCUCCCUGAAGGAAGUACAUGCACUGCUUUCUAGGGAUAGAUCGGAAGGGCAGCGCACAGACUUCCGAAAUGUCAAAGGUAAGCGCGAGGCAGAGGCAGAUGUGGCUGGUCCCUUGCCAUGUUACCCUGGAGCCCUGACACUUUCUGAAUCCGGAGCUCGUCCCAGAAGCACAGCUUUGCUGCUCUGGGACUCCGCGGCUCUUUGCCUACUUCUCGCUCCGGCCCUUGGCAACACAAAUCGUCCACACAUCCGGAGUCCCUGGUGUGCUCUCUCCCUGGCUGCCCCUCCAGGCACAGCGGUGUGCCAGCCCAUCCCCAUCGGCCAGUGGUUGGGGGGCUCCGGUCCCCUUCCCGCCUGCACUCUCCACCAGGGGCUGGCACCACCUCUGCACCCGCCACGUGUGCAUAUCCAGCCCCGAACCCGUGUCUGA